GCUGGCGGCACGCCUAACACAUGCAAGUCGAACGAAGUAGCAAUACUUAGUGGCAGACGGGUGAGUAACAUGUAGGUAUCUGCCCUUUGGCCUGGAAUAACACGAGGAAACUUGUGCUAAUACCGGAUAAGUCUUUACGGAGAAAGCUUUAUGCACCAUUGGAUGAGCCUGCACUUGAUUAGUUUGUUGGUGGGGUAAUGGCCUACCAAGACUGUGAUCAAUAGCUGAUUUGAGAGGAUGAUCAGCCACAUUGGGACUGAGACACGGCCCAAACUCCUACGGGAGGCAGCAGUGGGGAAUCUUGCACAAUGGAGGAAACUCUGAUGCAGCGAUGCCGCGUGAGUGAAGAAGGCCUUUGGGUUGUAAAGCUCUUUCGUCGGGGAAGAAAAUGACUGUACCCGAAUAAGAAGGUCCGGCUAACUUCGUGCCAGCAGCCGCGGUAAUACGAAGGGACCUAGCGUAGUUCGGAAUUACUGGGCUUAAAGAGUUCGUAGGUGGUUGAAAAAGUUGGUGGUGAAAUCCCAGAGCUUAACUCUGGAACUGCCAUCAAAACUUUUCAGCUAGAGUAUGAUAGAGGAAAGCAGAAUUUCUAGUGUAGAGGUGAAAUUCGUAGAUAUUAGAAAGAAUACCAAUUGCGAAGGCAGCUUUCUGGAUCAUUACUGACACUGAGGAACGAAAGCAUGGGUAGCGAAGAGGAUUAGAUACCCUCGUAGUCCAUGCCGUAAACGAUGUGUGUUAGACGUUGGAAAUUUAUUUUCAGUGUCGCAGCGAAAGCGAUAAACACACCGCCUGGGGAGUACG
rnacentral:rRNA from 1 species